GAUGAACGCUGGCGGCGUGCCUAAUACAUGCAAGUCGAGCGAACGGACGAGAAGCUUGCUUCUCUGAUGUUAGCGGCGGACGGGUGAGUAACACGUGGAUAACCUACCUAUAAGACUGGGAUAACUUCGGGAAACCGGAGCUAAUACCGGAUAAUAUUUUGAACCGCAUGGUUCAAAAGUGAAAGACGGUCUUGCUGUCACUUAUAGAUGGAUCCGCGCUGCAUUAGCUAGUUGGUAAGGUAACGGCUUACCAAGGCAACGAUGCAUAGCCGACCUGAGAGGGGGAUCGGCCACACUGGAACUGAGACACGGUCCAGACUCCUACGGGAGGCAGCAGUAGGGAAUCUUCCGCAAAGGGCGAAAGCCUGACGGAGCAACGCCGCGUGAGUGAUGAAGGUCUUCGGAUCGUAAAACUCUGUUAUUAGGGAAGAACAUAUGUGUAAGUAACUGUGCACAUCUUGACGGUACCUAAUCAGAAAGCCACGGCUAACUACGUG
rnacentral:rRNA from 1 species